AGACCUGAGACAACCAACCAGUAAUGUCACAUAAUUACCUUUUAGGCACCACCCCGUGUGAUCGUUGAUGGAAGAAGGAUGACCAGGAUUCAGCCUUUGUCUCAGUUGACCUCGUCAUGUUUUAUUAA